UCCAAAAGCUGAGGCGCCCAAGGAUAGGUCUGCGGCCGAUUAGGUUGUUGUUGAUGUAAUGGAUCAACAAGCCUGCAAUCGGUACGGGUUGUGAGAGCAAGAGCCCGGAGAUGGGUUCUGAGAAAAGAACCCAGGUCCUACGGGACGCAUCAGGCGCGAAAACUUUACAAUGUGCGAAAGCACGAUAAGGGAACUCUGAGUGCCUCCUAUGGAGGCUGUUCAGGUGUCUAAAAAGCACUUGAAGUAAGGGCUGGGUAAGACCGGUGCCAGCCGCCGCGGUAACACCGGCAGCCCAAGUGGUAGCCACGAUUAUUGGGUCUAAAGCGUCCGUAGCCGGCCAGGUAAGUUCUUUGGGAAAUUUAACCGCUCAACGGUUAAGCUUUCAGGGAAUACUGCUUGGCUUGGGACCGGGAGAGGUCAGAGGUACUUCAAGGGUAGGGGUGAAAUCCGUUAAUCCUUGAGGGACCACCAGUAGCGAAGGCGUCUGACCAGACCGGGUCCGACGGUGAGGGACGAAGGCUAGGGUCGCGAACCGGAUUAGAUACCCGGGUAGUCCUAGCUGUAAACGAUGCGGGCCAGGUGUUGGCAUUACUGCGAGUGAUGUCAGUGCCGAAGGGAAGCCGUUAAGCCCGCCAUCUGGGGAGUACGGUCGCAAGGCUGAAACUUAAGGAAUUGGCGGGGGAGCACCACAACGGGUGGAGCCUGCGGUUCAAUUGGAGUCAACGCCGGA
rnacentral:rRNA from 1 species